rnacentral:rRNA from 1 species
UAGGGAAUAUUAGACAUGGACGCAAGUCUGGUCGCACCACCCCGCGUGUGCGGAGGAGGCCUUCGGGUUGUAAAACACUUUUUGGAAGGAUUAGGAAGGAAUGUACUUCCAGAAUAAGUCUCGGCUAACUACGUGCCAGCAGCCGCGGUAAAACGUAGGAGGCAAACGUUAUCCGGAUUUACUGGGCGUAAAGCGCGUGUAGGUGGUUCUGUAAGUAGGGCGUGAAAGCUCCUGGCUCAACUGGGAGAGGCCGUUCUAAACUGCAGAGCUAGAGGAUGGUAGAGGGAGGUGGAAUUCCGGGUGUAGCGGUGGAAUGCGCAGAUAUCCGGAGGAACACCAGUGGCGAAAGCGGCCUCCUGGACCAUUCCUGACACUCAGACGCGAAAGCUAGGGUAGCAAACG